UAGUUGAAAGUUAAAGAAGCCCUAUCAGAGAAAUUGAUGACCAAACAUGCCAAACUCACAUGUCAUGCAUUCAGUCACUCAUUAUAGCAACAAACACACAAAUAACAUGCACUGGAAGCUUUCGUGCAAUAGUAACCACCAAGUGAAAGAUGUGAAAAUGGAACAGACCUUUGAAAUCAUGUUGACUAUCACUUCUGGAUCUGUAUGAAGAAACUUGUGGGCGAAACCAAUAAAAUGCAUGACCAAAGAGCUGUAGAAUAAGUAGUUAGCUAAUACAAAAACUUGCCAAGAAGAGGUAUAGGCAUGUGGAGUUGACUGGGUAACCUCCUUCAGUGUACUUGCAUUAGACUUCCCCAAAUUUGCA
rnacentral:lncRNA from 1 species